AGCAAAGGAGUUAACAAAUGGAAUUAGUGUAUCUUCUCUGCUCUAUACUCUCCACUUCCUUCACUUCCUUCUUCCUGUCUCUUCUCCUCCUUUUUCGCCUUCUGCUCCGCCGAUUAGGUUUCCGAUUUGACGCCGCCGGAGAUGUAGCCGGAGAAGGAGAAGACACUGUUUCUCUUUAUGAAGGAACUGUAUGGCACGAACGACGUCGUCCGGUUCACCAUUCAUUUCGAUAUCCGGUUCGUUACGCACUUAUUGACCUUGAUCGUUCGUCUAAUCCGCCAUCUGAUCACUUCUCAGCUCAUGAAGCUCGUCGCAUUUCUGGCACUACUGGUCCAGUUUUCUUGUUGACAAUACCGCCCAGUGUGGGAUAUGUGCAAAAUCCGUUGAGUUUGUAUUAUUGCUAUGAUACUGAAGGCUCCUUGCAGAAUUUGAAGAAAUGCAUUGCUGAGGUGACUAACACCCCAUGGGGUGAAAGGGUAUCAUUUCUGUUCAACCCAAACUCAGAUGUAGUUGCAAAAUCUCUUCAUGUUAGUCCUUUCAUGGAUAUGCUAGGAAACUGGACCAUGAAAACAAAUACACCUGGGGAUAAUCUAUUUGUAACAAUUUCAGUAAAUCAUCCGAAACAUGGUGAAUAUUUCUCAGCUUCAUUGAUGGCCAAAAGAGUAUCAUCCUCCACACAUACUGAUCUAGAUUUAUUCUUCUGGCUAAUGCCUCACAAGAUUGCUUUAGGGAUAUAUUGGCAGGCUCUUAAGCUUUGGUGGAAGGGUGUUCCUUUCUUGCAACAUCCAAGGUACUACAAUCCUAGAUACAGAGAAGAGGCCAUACUAUCUGAUGAGAAGCUUCAAUGUUGUCCGGCGUUUGUAUUUGAGACACAGAACAAUCGACAGGCUGGAGAGCACUGUUCCAAUCCUGCAGAUCACUCAACUUCAAGACAUCAUGGCUUCACUUGGAGGGAUGUAAAAUGGCCCUGGUGCUAAAAAGAAUGCAAAGAGUAGCUCAGCCUUUCGUAAAUAAAUGGCCCUCUUGACAAGAAAAUUAAGAACAGAGAGUCUGGGAUUCAAGUUCAUCGAAAGGGGAAAACGCUUUCUAUCAACAAGUUUUUCUAUUUGUAAGACAAAGAAGGAAGAACUUACUUGAACACUUUUACAUGGAUUAUUGACAUCACAAUAGCUCUGAAGAGUAAUUAAAGCUUGAUUAUCCAAAUCCUCAGCAUAAUUGUAACACUUACAAUUAGCACCAAUUGUCCUCUUAAAUAAGGGGCAACAUUUAUCUAUAGAGACUGUUUGUGUCA